rnacentral:piRNA from 1 species
UCUCUUGAGAAAGAGCUGCUUUCAAAC